rnacentral:rRNA from 1 species
GACGAACGCUGGCGGCGUGCCUAAUACAUGCAAGUUGAGCGCUGAAGGUUGGUACUUGUACCAACUGGAUGAGCAGCGAACGGGUGAGUAACGCGUGGGGAAUCUGCCUUUGAGCGGGGGACAACAUUUGGAAACGAAUGCUAAUACCGCAUAAAAACUUUAAACACAAGUUUUAAGUUUGAAAGAUGCAAUUGCAUCACUCAAAGAUGAUCCCGCGUUGUAUUAGCUAGUUGGUGAGGUAAAGGCUCACCAAGGCGAUGAUACAUAGCCGACCUGAGAGGGUGCGGGGCGAACUUGGGACGGUGACCCGGCCCAAUCUCCAGGGGGACGCGGCCGUGGGGAACCUUCGGAGCUGGGUUCACGUCUGACCGCGCUACGCCGCUUGAGUACAGAGGGUUUUCGGGUCGUAAACCCCUGUUGUUAGGGAAGAACGUUGGUGAGAGUGGAAAGCCCAUCAAGUGCCGGUAACUGCCAUGAAUGGGACGGCCAUCUACGUC